GUGGGGAAUCUUCCGCAAUGGACGAAAGUCUGACGGAGCGACGCCGCGUGAGUGAAGAAGGCCUUCGGGUCGUAAAGCUCUGUCAUCAGGGACGAACGGCCGGUGGAGUGGAAAGCCACCGGAUUGACGGUACCUGAGAAGGAAGCCACGGCUAACUACGUGCCAGCAGCCGCGGUAAUACGUAGGUGGCAAGCGUUGUCCGGAAUUAUUGGGCGUAAAGCGCGCGCAGGUGGGAUCUUAAGUCCAUUUUGAAAGUUCGGAGCUCAACUCCGUGAUGGGAUGGAAACUGGGAUUCUUGAGUACCGGAGAGGAAAGCGGAAUUCCCCGUGUAGCGGUGAAAUGCGUAGAUAUGGGGAGGAACACCAGUGGCGAAGGCGGCUUCCUGGCACAAUACUGACGCUCAUGUGCGAAAGCUAGGGCAGCGAACGGGAUUAGAAACCCCGGUAGUCC
rnacentral:rRNA from 1 species